rnacentral:tRNA from 1 species
AUUUAAAUAGCUUAAUUUAGAGUAUAAUAUUGAAGAUAUUAAGGUAAUUAUGGGAAAUUUUUAGAUA